GUGAGUCAUCGAAUCUUUGAACGCACAUUGCGCCCUGUGGUAUUCCGCAGGGCAUGCCUGUUCGAGCGUCAUUUCAACCCUCAAGCUCCGCUUGGUGUUGGGCCCCGCCCGCUCGCGGCCGGCCCCAAAGGCAGUGGCGGCGCCGUCUGGCUGCUCUAAGCGUAGUACAUCUCUCGCUCUAGGGCCCGGCGGUGGCUUGCCAGAACCCCAAACUCUGUGGUUGACCUCGGAUCAGGUAGGGAUACCCGCUGAACUUAAGCAUAUCAAUAAGCGGAGGA
rnacentral:misc_RNA from 1 species